GACGAACCGAGCGAACGUUGUUCGGAAUCACUGGGCUUAAAGGGCGCGUAGGCGGCCUGCCAAGUCAGGAGUGAAAUCUUUCGGCUCAACCGGAAAAGUGCUUUUGAUACUGGCGGGCUAGAGGGAGAUAGGGGCAUGUGGAACUUCCGGUGGAGCGGUGAAAUGCGUUGAUAUCGGAAGGAACGCCGGUGGCGAAAGCGACGUGCUGGACCUCUUCUGUCGCUGAGGCGCGAAAGCCAGGGGAGCGAACGGG
rnacentral:rRNA from 1 species